rnacentral:lncRNA from 1 species
ACAGUAAGAUCAUAGCUUCAGGACCUAAGUAGCUCCUGGGGAUGGGAAAGAGAUGACUGACUGAGGUGGUUGAUGGGAUUCUUACAGGACCCCACUGGAAAUCGGACUGUUCAACUCACCUGGCAUCCACUCCCAGAGCCCCUGGAACUCUGGCCCAAGGCUCUCUGACUGACUUCUUCCCAGAUCUUCUCGGCUUAGCAGCUGAAGACUGACGCUGCCCGAUUGCCUCAGAAGCCCCGUAGACCAUCAUGGACGCCGAGCUUUAGCAACAAAGCACCAUCUUGGAAGCAGAGAGCCACCCUCACCAGAACUGAAUGCAGGCACCGUGACCUUGAACUUCCCAGCCUCCAGAACUAUGUGAGUGCACAUGGAAAUUUAUGGAGUCUCUCAGCAUUGUAGAAGAGCCUCUGUUUCUUCUCACUGGUUCCUGUCCUCCUCAGCUUGGUAUAUAACUCCUGAGGGCUGAAUACCUGGUUGCUGAAGGAUCCAGUCCCUGCCCUAUAACCGAGGAAGAAUUUCUACUUCCCCUUCCUGUCCAGAAGUGAUAUUCCCAGAGGAACAGUGAAAACAUGAGAUUCAAGAUUCUGUGAGCUGGACAGCAGAUGGAGGCACACUGACAGCAGAUGGAGGACAUAAAGCUGACAGUUAAGAGACAUGUGAAUGGGUUGAUGGGGAAUGAUCUCUUUGUGAAGUCUGUUGUUGGCAACACAUUGCGGCAGAAGAAACAGCUCAGUGAUGGUCCCCACAGCUGCCAUUCUCCAGUCUUGAAGUUGGUGUAUGACCUCACUGUGACCGACCCCCUAUGGGCUGACAAUGUGGAAAACAGUAAUGGUCAAGAAAUCCUCCCUGUCCUUUUGUGUUCCAGGCAGAGAGCCACCCUUCCCCAUGUGACUUGGGGAAGACUCAUGGAUGAGCUCCUUGAGAACCUAUGACGAAGCCAGACACAACCCCUCCUAGGGUCUGAAAGUUUGUGUCCUUCCAAAUUCAUAUGUUGAAAUCCUAACCCCCGAGGUGAUGGUAUCAGGAAGUGGGGCCUUGGGAGGUGGUUAGGUCAUAAGAUUGGAGCUCUUAUGUAUGGAAUCAGUGAUUUAAAAAGGCCCCAGAGAGCUGCCUUGCUCCUUAAGACAUGUGAGGAUACAGCAAGAAGGUGCUGUCCAUGAGAAAGCUGGCCCUCACCAGAAACCAAUCCUACAGAUGCCUUGAUCUUGGACUUCACAGCCUCCAGCACUGUGAGCAAUGAGUUUUUGUUGUUUAUAAGCCACCUAGUCUAUGGUAUUUUGUUAUGGCAGCUUGAACAGACUAAGCCAACCCUCCAAAUUUUCAUUCUUUGGUCCUCACUGACUAAUCUGAACAAACUGCUCAUCAACUUAACUUGUUCAAACUUAAUGAGGCUUCUCUCCCUCCCCAGGCCUUUGAACUUUGGCUGGCCCCUGAGCUUAAGCAAGCACUAAAACACAGAACAUCUCUCCUCAGUGAUCCUUCCCUGUUCAAAUUGUCUGUUCACACCACCUGCUCAUCCCACUCCCGCACAGCCACUCCUCUCUAGUAUUCUCUACUCCUUCACAUAAAAAGAGAAGCCCUUAGCCGGGUGCAGUGGCUCAUGCCUGUACUCUCAACACUUUGGGAGGCCCAGGUGGGUGGAUCACCUGAGGUCAGGAGUUCAAGACCAACCUGGCUAACAUGGCGAAACCCCGUUUCUACUAAAAAUACAAAAAAAUUUAGCCAGGCGUGGUUGUGUGUGCCUGUAAACCCAGCUAGCUGGGAGACUGAGGCAGGAGAAUCACUUGAAUGUGGGAGUCAGAGGUUGCAGUGAGCCAAGAUUGCGCCACUGCACUCCAGCCUGGGCGACAGAGUAGGACUCUGUCUCAAAAAAAAAAAAAAAAAAAAAGAGAAUCCCUUUCCUGCCUGAGCUUUGAGACACCUGCGGAGGCUAUGGUCAGAGCAUUCUCCUUAAGGCAAUAGUGACCCUCUUCCUUUUGCAAUAGAAUUUAUGAAUGGACUGUCUCUUGACUUAAGUCCAGAUUUGUUUCUUCACUUGACAGAGGAAAGCUACACAUUUUAUUCUAUCUUUAGUCUUAGAAUUCUAAGUAUGAUUUUAUUCUUGUAUUCAUCUAUUAAACAAAUACCCACAUAUCAAUAUAUAUCGAACUCACUCUUCGUGCUGGAGAUAAAAUAAGAACAAGCUUUCUCUUCCAUGAACCAUUACCCUAUUAGGGGAGUGGGUGGGAGACAGAUAAGGAGAAAAUAAAUGUCAAAUUAUAUGAAGUGCUUUGGAGAAAAGUAAAGCAAAGUACACUAGUGCCCCCUAUCCACGGUGGAUACAUUCCAAGACCCACAGUGGAUGCCCGAAACUGUGGAUAGUGUUGAGCCCUAUAUAUAUAUAUUCUGUUUUCUCCUACACAUAUGUACCUGUGAUAAGUUUAAUAUAUGAUAAACUUGAUAAGAUUUACCAUACAAUUACCUUUUUCUCUUUUCUUCUUUUUUUUUUUUUUUUUGAGAUGGAGUUUCACUUUUGUUGCCAGGCUGGAGUGCAAUGGCGCGAUCUUGGCUCACUGCAACCUCCACCUCCCGGGCUAAAGUGAUUCUCCUGCCUCAGCCACCCGAGUAGCUGGGAUUACAGGCAUGCACCACCACGCCUGGCUAAUUUUGUAUUUUUAGUAGAGACGGGGUUUCUCCAUGUUGGUCAGGCUGGUCUCGAACUCCUGACCUCAAGUGAUCCACCCGCCUAGGCCUCCCAAAGUGGUGGGAUUACAGGCGUGAGCCACCAUGCCCAGCCACAAUUUAUUUUCUUUCCUUAAGUCGAAGACUUUCACUUUUUCACUUAAUGGAAGCAACGUAUGGCUUCUCUUUGGCAUGUCCUGAUUGUCAGCAUCACUACUGUUGCAUUUGGGGACAUCAUGAAGUAAAAUAAGGAUAACUUACCACAAUCACUACAAUAAGGUGAAAUCAGUCUGACAACCCGGACAACGAUGAAGUGACUAAUGGACAGGUAACAUAGACAUCAUGAACACGCUGGACAAAGGGAUGAUUCACAUCCUGGGGGGACAAAGCAGAAAAGUGUGAGUUUCAUCAUGCUGCACAGAACGGCACAAAAUUUAAAACUUAUGCAUUGUUUAUUUCUUCUUUCUUUGUUGUGACAGGGUCUUGCUCUGUUGCCCAGGCUGGAGUACACUGGCAUAAUCUCGGCUCACUGCAGCGUCAACCUUCCAGGCUCAAGCAAUCCUCCCACCUCAGACCUGGCCCAAGUAGGUGGGACUACAGGUGCAUGCCACCACACAAGGCUAAUUUUUGUAUUUUUUGUAGAGACAGGGUUUUGCCAUGUUGCCCAAGCUGGUCUCGAAAUCAUGAGCUCAAGCAAUCUACCUGCCUUGGCCUCCCAAAGUACUGGGAUUACAGGUGUGAGCCACUGCGCCUGGCCUGAAUUAUUUAUUUCUAAAAUUUUUCAUUUACUAUUUUCAGACCACAGUUGACUGCAGGUAACUGAAAUUAUGGAAACCAAAACCCUUAGUGGGUAAGGGGGCACCACUGUAAGAAGAGGUAUCUGGGCUUGGGGAUGAGUUGGUAUUGUAAAUAUGGUAAUCAGAUAAGAUUUCGUGAACACCAUAGACCUUGUAUUAGUCUGUUCUUGCACUGCUAUAAAGAAAUACCUGAGACUGGGCAAUUUAUAAAGAAAAGAGGUUUAAUUGGCUCACAGUUCUGCAGGCUGUACAGGAAGCAUGGUGGCUUUUGCUUCUGGGGAGGCCUCAGGAAACUUACAAUCAUGGUGGAAAGCAAAGGGGAAGCAGGCACAUCUUACAUGGCCAGAGCAGAAGGAAGAGAGAGAGGGAGGGAGAAGUGCUACACACUUUUAAACAACCAGCUUUCACAGGAAUUCACUCACUAUCAUAGGAACAGCACCAAGGGGGAAGGUGUUAAACCAUUCAGGAGAAACUGCCCCCAUGAUUGGAUAAUCAUCUUCCACCAGGCCCUACCUCCAACGUUGGAGAUUACAAUUCGACAUGAGAUUUGGGCAGGGACACAGAUCCAAAACAUAUCAGACCUAAAAGCAGUCAUGGAGACCACUAACAAGCGCAAAGCCCCUGAGAUGUGCGUUCAGGGUGUUCACAAAAGAGCAAAGAGGCCGAUGUGGCUGGAAGAUAGUAAGCACGGGAUAUGAGAUAAAAUCAGAGAGGCAGUGUGUUCUAGGUCACGCAGGGCUUGUGGGCUAUCGUAAAGACUUCAGCUUUUACUCUGAAUGAGAUGGAAAACUAACAAGCGUUUUAAGUAGUAGUGCUAUGAUCUGAAUAACAUUUUAAAAGAUCUACUCUUGAUUCUGUGUGGAGAAUAGGCUAGGGAAAGACCAAGGACAGAAGCACAGAGUCCAUUUGGGAAUCUACGGCAACAAUAUGUGCAAGGGAAGAUGGUGACCAGGACCAAGAUGGUGACCAGGACCGUGUGGAAGGGCAGGGUGUGGAGGUCAGAAUCAGGACUUGAGUUUGGAGCACAUUAUGCUUUUCAUGUUUAUUACACAUCAAAGUGGAGAUUUCUAGUUGGAAAUUAGAGAGGUGAGAGAGAGAGAGAAGUUGUGACUUUGGGAGGGAGAUCUUUACAGAUUUUUGAUGUUAAUAUCUCUGAAAGGACUCUUUCUAAUUAUUUACACAAUUAAGACAAUUAACUAAGUCAAACGAUUAUUUCAUUAAUGAUUGACUAUUGUUAAGCCAAAUAUUAUUAACUUUGUCUACUUGAUCUGUUUUGCCUGAUAUGCUGACUAUGCUUUUGCCUCAAGCUUUUGCGCUUUGUUCCCUCUGUCUAUCAGAGUUACUCAAAGUGCAACCAGAUGAAAAGCAAGAGCCAGGCCGUGCAUGGUGGCUCAUGCCUGUAAUCCCAGUAUUUUGGGAAGCCGAGGUGGGAGGAUCACGAGGUCAGGAGUUCAAGAGCAGCGUGGCCAAUGUGGUGAAACCCCGUCUCUACUAAAAAUACAAAAAAAAAUUAGUCGCGCAUGGUGGCACAUGCCUGUAGUCCCAGCUACUCGGGAGGCGGAGGCAGGAGAAUCGCUUGAACCCAGGAGGCGGAGGUUGCAGUGAGCCGAGAUCGCGCCACUGCACUCCAGCCUGGGUGACAGAGCGAGACUUUGUCUCAAAAAACAAACAAACAAACAAACAAACAAAAAAAGAGCAAGAGCCAGAGUGCAAAUGAACACAGUGCUUCCUUCGUCAAGAAAGUCUUGCAAUAAAAGAGAAAAAUGUCAGCUGCAGUGAACAGUGUCCUUCAUGAUGGAGCUGGUUUGCGUUCUGAGGAAAUUGCAACCUCCUCACCACUAACUGGAACAAACAUACCACAGACCAUACUUUGAGAAGUAAAAUUCUAGAGCAUCGCUGAAGCAACCCCAAGUAACUACACGGCUCUUCUUCAUUCCAUUCAGGUCCCUGAACAAAUGUCAUGUCCUCAGAGAAGCAUACACUUCUGAAACAGCUGGCUUCAGUCCCUCUCUCUUUUAGUUUUCUUUGUAGCAUGUAUCAUUAUUUAACUUUAUAUUAUGUAAUUAUUUGUUUAAUAUCUCUCCAUUAAAGCAAGCUCAAUUAGAGUUGCAACUUGCUCUGUUUCAUUCAGUUAUAUCCCCAGCACCUAGAAAAUUGCCUGGCACAUAGGAGGUACGUAAUAAUGAAAAUGAAUGAAUAGUACUAAAAAGGAUGAAUAUAGGUAUACUAAUAUCAAAGUCCCUGCUGUUUAAAAUGUUGUGUUCAUCUAAUAAAUCUGUGACCUUCUUUAACAGCUCAUUUUCCUUAUUUUAGGUUUAUUUCUUAUAAGC